AUUACCCUGUGGUGUUCGUGAUUGCUGCACAACCGGUUUUGAGCCAACACCCUUAAAAUGGGGCUCAGUGUCACUGAGCGUACGCGAUAGGCUUUAGCCAAGGCGAAAACUCCGGAGCGGGCCCCCACCUGCAUUUGCAGGUUCAAAACUAUGUAGCACACGGCAUUGCGGGGUAUUU
rnacentral:other from 1 species